CCUACGGGAGGCAGCAGUGGGGAAUUUUCCGCAAUGGGCGAAAGCCUGACGGAGCAACGCCGCGUGAGGGACGAAGGCCUCUGGGCUGUAAACCUCUUUUCUCAAGGAAGAAGAUAUGACGGUACUUGAGGAAUAAGCCACGGCUAAUUCCGUGCCAGCAGCCGCGGUAAUACGGGAGUGGCAAGCGUUAUCCGGAAUUAUUGGGCGUAAAGCGUCCGCAGGCGGCUUUUCAAGUCUGCUGUUAAAGCGUGGAGCUUAACUCCAUCAUGGCAGUGGAAACUGAAAGGCUUGAGUAUGGUAGGGGCAGAGGGAAUUCCCGGUGUAGCGGUGAAAUGCGUAGAUAUCGGGAAGAACACCAGUGGCGAAGGCGCUCUGCUGGGCCAUUACUGACGCUCAUGGACGAAAGCCAGGGGAGCGAAAGGGAUUAGAUACCCCUGUAGUCCUGGCCGUAAACGAUGAACACUAGGUGUCGGGGGAAUCGACCCCUUCGGUGUCGUAGCUAACGCGUUAAGUGUUCCGCCUGGGGAGUACGCACGCAAGUGUGAAACUCAAAGGAAUUGACGG
rnacentral:rRNA from 1 species